UGUAGCUAAAGAUGACUUUGAACUCAGCCCUUGUGACUCCACCUCCAAAGAGCUGAGAUUCAGAUGGCGUAGAUCCAGGAGAAUACAAGCUACUUUUGCUAGGAAGAAUCUCCUAGUUGUAAGCUGAGUCACUGGAAACAUCUUUGUCCACAGAACAUAGGAGACCACAGUGUUCUGAAGCAUUUGGAAAUUUUGUGUCCAGGUGAAGGGGUGAGAUGAGGCAUUAAUCUCAUGUGCCAUUACGUCAUACUUUUUAUAGUUGUUCAAUUGCAACAAUUAAUUCUCCUAACUCUCUACUUUUUGCAAAGCUUUCUUUAAUUCUCCCCUGCAGAUAUCAUCCUCAUUAUGAGCUCUUACAAUACAUUACUAAAAUAUAUUUUGGAUGUACUCAACUCCUGAGGGAAGACUUAUCACCCAUGACAGUAAACAUAUUUCAUAUUAAUCACUUGCCAGGUCAUCCUAAAGCAAGGGAGCCAUGUGAAUCUCACUCCCUUCCAGUUUUCCAUGUCCAACUGAGUCUCCUCAGAGUCUUUGUGUUCACCAUUCAAAUCAGUUGCUAUUAUUAAUAGAAAAUGAACCUUAAAGAGUAAGUGUGGAGAAUGGAAUUUUAUAAUGAGAAAGAACUAGAAAGGAUCUAAUUAGCCAAUAUCACACUGGAGCUUGUAUCACAUAAAGUAUAAUACAAUAAGUAAAAGAACAUUUUAGGUCAAAAAGAAAAAAGAAAAAGAAAGAAAAGGAACAGCUAUUUACAACUAUAGUUUGUUCACCAAUAAUCCCACCUGAAAUUUUAAGGAAUUCUGAUAACAUGGCCUAUGUAGGAAUGUGGAAGCUUUUUCAAUAAUGGGGCUCAGCCAACUAUCAAGAGUGCUGAACUAAGUAGCAAAGAAGGAAGAGGACUAAGCUUUAAUGACUCCUAAAGUGCUACUAACAAGGAAAGAUUGGAUAUUAGUAUAUGUCCAAUGUGUGUCUUUUUUAUGAUAUUGCAUUGAAUUUCAACCGUAAAAUUAAAUUUA
rnacentral:sRNA from 1 species